CCUACGGGGGGCAGCAGUGGGGAAUAUUGGACAAUGGGGGGAACCCUGAUCCAGCCAUGCCGCGUGUGUGAAGAAGGCCCUCGGGUUGUAAAGCACUUUCAGUGAGGAAGAACGCCUGGUGGUUAAUACCCAUCAGGAAAGACAUCACUCACAGAAGAAGCACCGGCUAACUCCGUGCCAGCAGCCGCGGUAAUACGGAGGGUGCGAGCGUUAAUCGGAAUUACUGGGCGUAAAGCGCGCGUAGGUGGCUUGAUAAGCCGGUUGUGAAAGCCCCGGGCUCAACCUGGGAACGGCAUCCGGAACUGUCAAGCUAGAGUGCAGGAGAGGAAGGUAUAAUUCCCGGUGUAGCGGUGAAAUGCGUAGAGAUCGGGAGGAAUACCAGUGGCGAAGGCGGCCUUCUGGACUGACACUGACACUGAGGUGCGAAAGCGUGGGUAGCAAACAGGAUUAGAUACCCUGGUAGUC
rnacentral:rRNA from 1 species